rnacentral:lncRNA from 1 species
AGCACCGACGCCUUCAUCGCACCAUAACCACAACCUUUCGGUACCACCAACAACGAACACCACCACCUGCAAUCAUUCCAGAUAUGCAUAGGUCUGGUCAGAUCUGGUUAGAUCUGAUAUUUAGAUGCAAUUUUGUUAAGCCUUUUGUUUUCCGGAGAGCUUCUUUGCCUCAGAUCGUUGGGAGAGUCACUAACUGACAUCAUCAUCUCAAAUCUAAAGCCAAAUACAUAUACCGAUUUCUCGGAUUUGGUGAGAUUUGUUGUGUCUGAUGUAUUUUCAAACAUAAAUCUAAUGUUUACAAAGCAUUUCAUGGUGGCCAGUUGUUGUUCCACUACCACCUCAGAUAUGAAAACAAUGUGCACACAAGGUGUUUGAUGAAAUGCCUAAACGAGAUCUGUAAGUUUUUAUAUUAUAAAUAAGUGUAUGAAAUUGUGUAUCAAACUAUGAACUAGUGUCUGAAAUGUAUAUUAUACUAUGAAUUUUGUUUUUUAUGCAUUAGUCUGUAAAUUAGUGUCUAAAAUGUUGAAUUAAAAAACAUUGAAUUAAACUUUGAAUUAGUGUCUAAAAUAUUGAAUUAAACUUUGAAUUAGUGCGUGAAAUAUUGUAUUAAACUGUGAAUUCUAAUUUUUUUAUCCAGAUCUAAAUUUUAUAUUUGUAAAUGAGUUGUGAAUGUAAUAUAUUAAACUGUGAAUAUGUGUUUCUUAUGUAUUAAUUUGUGAAUAUAUAAGUUAUUAAGUUGUGAAUGUGUAUUUUUUUUUAUGUAGUAAGUUGUGAAUUAGUGUCUGAAAUAUUAAAUUAAGCUGUGAAUUAGUGUCCGAAAUGUUGAAUUAAACUGUGAAUUCUGAUUUUUUUUUUAUGCAAAUUUGAUUUUAGAGGGAAAGAUGUUGACAGUAUUGGCACCGAUGGUCAGUGGUCGAGAUGGUUGAUGGUAGUGGAUAUUGGUGGUGGUGGUAGAGUAAGGAUAUGUUCUAUUUCUCACUCAUCUUCAUCUUCUUCACUGAUUCUUCGAUGAUUUCAAAUAAGUUAUCCUCUUUUAUUAUUCAUGUAUAUGUUUUUUUCUUUUGAUGUUUGCUUCUGAAAUAUGAGAUAACUUAUUUAUGUAUUAAACUGUGAAUGAGUUUUUUAUACACUAAAAUAUGAUAUUAUACUUGUAAAUGAGUUGUUAAUGCAUUAUAUUAAACAAUGAAUUUUAUAAAUUUUAUUAACAACUUAAUAUAAUAAUUUCACAAUUUAAUAUACCUCCAGAUAUGAACGUAUAGAUGUACGCGUUAAGUUGAGAAUAUGGUUGUGAAUAUAUAACUUUUGUUUAUUAAAUUGUGAAUAUAUUGUAUUAAGCUGUGAAUUUUUUGUAUAAAAAUAUGAAUUAAGCUGUGAUUUGACUGUAAUAAACUAUGAUUUUUUUUUAAUUUUUUGUUUGCUUCUGAAAUAUGAGAAGAAUGAAUCAUUAUACACAUAUAUGAUUUUUUUCUAAUUAAAAUUAAUUAUAUAAAAUUUAAAGUGUGAAUAUUGAUUGAACGUAUAGUGAAUUAAACGUUGAAAGAAGCAUUAGCCUCCAAUUUAAAAGGUAUAAAUAUAAGUUUUAAGUUAAGAAUAUGAUAUUUCAAUAUACUAAAUUGUAAAUUUAUUAUACUAAGUUGUGAAUUUUAUGCGGUAAACAGUAAUCGACAAUAUUAAGUUUUGAAUUGACUGAAUUUUGCUCUAUUUUUUUUUAUAAAAUUUGUGUAAAAAUAUGUAUGAUGUGUGUAUGAAUUUUUGUAUUAAUGUUCUUAUGAAUAUAUUUAUGUUGUGUGUAUAAGUGUGUAAGAAUACAUUAGUUUUUAUAACUAAUUUGUAUUAAAUUCAGUGAGUGAAUUAAUAGAUUUAUUAAACUACAAAUGUAAUAUCUAACAUGUCAUUGUGUAACAAUAUAUACAUAUAUGAUUUGGAAGGAAGAUUAGUUGCGACAUUAGUGGAGGUGGUUGGCGGCGUCAUGUGGUGGUGGUAGAGUGGGGUUUGAGUUCUCUGAAUUUAAGAAUUUAUAUAAGAUGGAUUAUAUUAAGUUGUGAAUUUUGUGUAUUAAUUUGGAAACUG